GACGAACGCUGGCGGCGUGCUUAACACAUGCAAGUCGAGCGGUAAGGCCCUUUCGGGGGUACGACGAGCGGCGAACGGGUGAGUAACACGUGGGUGACCUGCCCUCAGCUCUGGGAUAAGCCUGGGAAACCGGGUCUAAUACUGGAUAUGACUCCAUGACGCAUGUUGUGGGGUGGAAAGCCUUGUGCGGCUGAGGAUGGGCCCGCGGCCCAUCAGCUUGUUGGUGGGGUGAGGCCUACCAAGGCGACGACGGGUAGCCGGCCUGAGAGGGCGACCGGCCACACUGGGACUGAGACACGGCCCAGACUCCUACGGGAGGCAGCAGUGGGGAAUCUUGCGCAAUGGGCGAAAGCCUGACGCAGCGACGCCGCGUGAGGGAUGACGGCCU
rnacentral:rRNA from 1 species